rnacentral:rRNA from 1 species
GGUCAAGCUAUUAAGGGUGCAUGGUGGAUGCUCUGGCGUCGAGAGGCGAUGAAGGGCGUGGCACGGCUGCGAUAAGCCCCGGUUUGCUGCGAGCAAGCUCAUCCGGGGAUCCCCGAAUGCGGAAACGCUCCGAGGUAAUACCUCGGAAGUCGACACUGAAUGAAUAGGUGUCGAUGGCCCACGCAGGGAACUGAAACAUCUGAGUACCUGCAGGAGAAGAAAGAAACCUCGACUUCCCUAGUAGCGGCGAGCGAACGGGAACUAGCCUAAACCAAUGGCGUGCAAGCCGACAAGCGUUGCGUCAUUGGGGUUGUGGGAUGCGGUAUCGCCAACUUGUCGGUUGGCGCGGAAGUUACAAAAGACUGUCAUAGUGGAACGUUCUGGAAAGUUCGGCCAAAGAGGGUGAUAGCCCCGUACGCAAAAUGACAGCCUCUUCUGAAUCGCGUCCCGAGUACCGGCGGCCACGUGAAAUCCGCCGCGAAUCUGGGAGGACCACCUCCUAAGGCUAAGUACUACUCGACGUCCGGUAGCGCAUAGUAGCGUGAGCGAAAAGUGAAAAGAACCCCGGCAAGGGGAGUGAAAUAGGACCUGAAACCGUGCACCUACAAGCGGUCGGAGGGCUAUGGCAGCUUCGGCUGCAAUGCCUAACGGCGUACCUUUUGCAUAAUGAUCCGGCGAGUUGCCGUGCAGGGCAAGGCUAAGGGCGUUACGUCCGCAGCCGUAGCGAAAGCGAGUGCGAAAUGCGCAUUGAAGUCUUGCAUGGCAGACCCGAAUGCAGGUGAUCUAACCAUGGCCAGGCUGAAGCGAGCGUAACACCUCGUGGAGGGCCGAACUCGUCACCGUUGCAAAGGUGUGGGAUGAGCUGUGGUUUGGAGCAAAAGACUAACCAAACCUGCGAAUAGCUGGUUCUCCCCGAAACAAGUUUCGGCUUGACGUCAGGUUAUUCAUCGUUGGGGGUAGAGCUACUGAAUGGGUACGGGGGGACUCAAUCCUACCCGUCCCAACCAAACUCCGAAUACCAGCGAUGCGACCCUGGCAGUUAGUCCGCGGGCGAUAACGUUCACGGACAAGAGGGAAACAACCCAGAUUGCCGGCUAAGGUCCCAGAGACUGCGCUAAGUGGGAAAAGGAGGUAAGGCCUCGAAGACAGCCGGGAUGUUGGCUUAGAAGCAGCCAUCAUUUAAAAAGUGCGUAAUAGCUUACCGGUCGAGAGGCCUUGCGCCGAAAAUUAACGGGACUCAAGCGCAGCACCGAAGCCGCAGGUCGUCGAUGCCCGAUGGGCUUCGACGGCGGUAGGGGAGCGUUCCAUGCGGGCUGAAGGGUGACGACAACGACACCUGGACUGCAUGGAAGUGAGAAUGCCGGAACGAGUAGCGGUAAAUCGGGUGAGAAUCCUGAUCGCCGUAAGCCCAAGGUUUCCUGGGGCAGGUCAGUCCGCCCAGGGUUAGUCGGGUCCUAAGCUGAGGCCGACAGGCGUAGGCGAUGGAAAACAGGUUAAUAUUCCUGUACCGGCGUGGAGCGACAAAGACGUGAUGGGGGGACAGAGGGUUGAUGGUCAGCCUACGGUUAGAUGUGUAGGUUUAAGCUUGCGGGGUCGCAGUAGGAAAAUCCGCUGCGUAUGGCCUCGGGAGUGAUGACGAGCGCCUUGAGCGCGAAGUGAUCGGAGCCCCUCUCAAGAAAAGCCUCUAACGAGCUCUAAGCCGCCCGUACCGUAAACUGACACUGGUGGGCGAGGUGAAUAUCCUAAGGCGCUCGAGUGAAAUCUCGUGAAGGAACUCAGCAUAAUGGCUCCGUAACUUCGGGAGAAGGAGCGCCCUCGGUGGUCGAAGGGUUUACCCCUUAGGCUGUUGAGGGCCGCAGAGAAAUGGCCCGGGCGACUGUUUACCAAAAACACAGGUCUGUGCAAAGUCUGAUAAGACGCUGUAUACAGACUGACGCCUGCCCGAUGCCGGAAGGUCAAAGGGAUGGGUCAUGAGGUUCGCCUCAGAAGCCUUGAACCAAAGCCCCGGUGAAUGGCGGCCGUAACUAUGACGGUCCUAAGGUAGCGAAGUUCCUUGUCGGGUAAGUUCCGACGCGCAUGAAUGGCGUAACGACUUGGGCGCUGUCUCCACGAGAUGCUCGGCGAAACUGGAGUCUUGGUGAAAAUACCAAGUGCCCGCGCAAGGACGGAAAGACCCCAUGAACCUUCACUUCACCCUGGUAUUGGCAUCUGGCAUUGCAUGUGUAGCAUAGGUGGGAGACUUUGAAGGAUGGGCGCUAGUUCAUCUUGAGUCGUCAGUGAAAUACCACUCUUGCCCUGACAGAUGCCUAACCGGUCACCGUGAAUCCGGGAUCGGAACAGUGCUAGGCGGGUAGUUUGGCUGGGGCGGUCUCCUCCCAAAAGGUAACGGAGGAGUCCAAAGGCACCUUCAGCGCGGUUGGCAAUCGCGCAUAGAGCGCAUAGGUAUAAGGGUGCUUAACUGCGAGUCUGAUAGGACGAGCAGAUGUGAAAGCAGGGCUAAGUGAUCCGGCGGAUUCCAUGUGGAAGGGCCGUCGCUCAUCAGACAAAAGGUACUCUGGGGAUAACAGGCUGAUCUCCCCCAAGAGCUCAUAUCGACGGGGAGGUUUGGCACCUCGAUGUCGGCUCAUCGCAUCCUGGGGCUGGAGAAGGUCCCAAGGGUUUGGCUGUUCGCCAAUUAAAGCGGUACGCGAGCUGGGUUCAGACCGUCGUGAGACAGGUCGGUCCCUAUCCGGCGUGGGCGUAGGAUGCUUGAGGAGAGCUGCCUCUAGUACGAGAGGAUUGAGGCGGACGGACCUCUGGUGUAGGGGUUGUCGCGCUAGCGGCACCGCCCCGUAGCUAUGUCCGGAAUGGAUAACCGCUGAAAGCAUCUAAGCGGGAAGCCAACUCCAAGAUCGGGCAUCCCAAUCAGGCCUCUGGUAGACUAUCAGAUUGAUAGGCGGGAGGUGUACGUGCAGCAAUGCACUUAGCUGACCCGUACUAACUGGCCGAUUGGCUUGACCAC